rnacentral:rRNA from 1 species
UUCGACUGUUUACCAAAAACAUAGCCUUUUGUAUUGCAUAAAAGGUGAGGCCUGCCCAAUGAGGUUCUCAAAUAAGUAAUGACCCUUUAAUGGCGGGAGUAUACCUGACUCUCAAAAUGUAGCGAAUUCUAUUGCCUUAUAAUUGAAGGACCAGUGAAUGGCAAAACUAAAUAAGCACUGUAUCAAACUAAAAUUUUAUGAAAUUAGAAUACAAGUGAAGAUACUUGUUGCUAAGUGAAAGACGAGAAGACCCUAUGAAGCUUUACUGUAAGCUUAUAUCUAUAAUAUAUUUAUUUUAUAUGCUUGUCAGUUUUUUUGGGGCAACAACUAUCUAAAUAGUAAUGAUAGUUAACUAUGACAAAUGUUUAAUAGUAUAAGAAACAUCUUUAACUAAUAUAAUAUAGUAGGUUAAAAUUACCUGUUAAAAAUAAAAUUAUUUAACACUAUAGAAUAAAAGUUACUCUAGGGAUAACAGGUUAAUUACUAUGUUGAGAAAUGUUAUUGAUGUAGUUAUUUAACACCUCGAUGUUGAAUUAUCUUAUCCUGGAGGUGAAGAGGCUUCCAAGGGAUGGACUGUUCGUCCUAUAAUAAGUUACAUGAUUUGAGUUCAUUUC